AGUUUGAUCAUGGCUCAGGAUGAACGCUAGCGGCAGGCCUAACACAUGCAAGUCGAACGGUAACAGGAAUUAGCUUGCUAAUUUGCUGACGAGUGGCGCACGGGUGCGUAACGCGUAUACAAUCUACCUUUUGCUGAGGGAUAGCCCAGAGAAAUUUGGAUUAAUACCUCAUAGUAUUAUUGAUAGGCAUCUAUUAAUAAUUAAAGGUUACGGCAAAAGAUGAGUAUGCGUCCCAUUAGCUAGUUGGCGAGGUAACGGCUCACCAAGGCAACGAUGGGUAGGGGUCCUGAGAGGGAGAUCCCCCACACUGGUACUGAGACACGGACCAGACUCCUACGGGAGGCAGCAGUGAGGAAUAUUGGACAAUGGGCGAGAGCCUGAUCCAGCCAUGCCGCGUGCAGGAAGACUGCCCUAUGGGUUGUAAACUGCUUUUAUACAGGAAGAAUAAGCCUUACGUGUAAGGUGAUGACGGUACUGUAAGAAUAAGGACCGGCUAACUCCGUGCCAGCAGCCGCGGUAAUACGGAGGGUCCGAGCGUUAUCCGGAAUUAUUGGGUUUAAAGGGUCCGUAGGCGGAUGAUUAAGUCAGGGGUGAAAGUUUGCAGCUCAACUGUAAAAUUGCCUUUGAUACUGGUUAUCUUGAGUUGUAUUGAAGUAGGCGGAAUAUGUAGUGUAGCGGUGAAAUGCAUAGAUAUUACAUAGAACACCAAUUGCGAAGGCAGCUUACUAAGUACUAACUGACGCUGAUGGACGAAAGCGUGGGUAGCGAACAGGAUUAGAUACCCUGGUAGUCCACGCCGUAAACGAUGGAUACUAGCUGUUCGGGGCCUUGAGCUCUGAGCGGCUAAGCGAAAGUGAUAAGUAUCCCACCUGGGGAGUACGUUCGCAAGAAUGAAACUCAAAGGAAUUGACGGGGGCCCGCACAAGCGGUG
rnacentral:rRNA from 1 species